AGUGAACGCUGGCGGCAGGCCUAACACAUGCAAGUCGAACGGCAGCACAGGAGAGCUUGCUCUCUGGGUGGCGAGUAGCGGACGGGUGAGGAAUAUAUCGGAAUCUACCCUUUCGUGGGGGAUAACGUAGGGAAACUUACGCUAAUACCGCAUACGAACUGAGGUUGAAAGCGGCGGACCGCAAGGCGUCGCGCGGAUGGAUGAGCCGAUAUCCGAUUAGCUAGUUGGCGGGGUAAAGGCCCACCAAGGCGACGAUCGGUAGCUGGUCUGAGAGGAUGAUCAGCCACACUGGAACUGAGACACGGUCCAGACUCCUACGGGAGGCAGCAGUGGGGAAUAUUGGACAAUGGGCGCAAGCCUGAUCCAGCCAUGCCGCGUGUGUGAAGAAGGCCUUCGGGCUGUAAAGCACUUUUGUUGGGAAAGAAAAGCGGUCGGUUAAUACCCGGUCGUUCUGACGGUACCCAAAGAAUAAGCACCGGCUAACUUCGUGCCAGCCGCCGCCGUAA
rnacentral:rRNA from 1 species